rnacentral:rRNA from 1 species
CAGCCGCCGCGGUAAUACCGAGGGUGCGAGCGUUAAUCGGAUUUACUGGGCGUAAAGCGUGCGUAGGCGGCUUUUUAAGUCGGAUGUGAAAUCCCUGAGCUUAACUUAGGAAUUGCAUUCGAUACUGGGAAGCUAGAGUAUGGGAGAGGAUGGUAGAAUUCCAGGUGUAGCGGUGAAAUGCGUAGAGAUCUGGAGGAAUACCGAUGGCGAAGGCAGCCAUCUGGCCUAAUACUGACGCUGAGGUACGAAAGCAUGGGGAGCAAACAGGAUUAGAGACCCCCGUAGUCCCUGUCUCUUAUAA